GUAAAAUUAAGUUUUCACUUUGAAAUUUAUGGGAAUGAAAAGGCAGAGCUUUUCUAACAAUAAUAAAAUUAUUUCAAAACAAAUACAUCAUCUCACACAAUGAAUGAGCUGUAGAAUUCAAUAUAAGGUUAAUUCUUAUGAAACCUCCAUUAGGCAUGUAUGUCACAGAAAUAUGAGAAAAUCUCCAUUAGGCAUGUAUGUCACAGAAAUAUGAGAAAAUCUGAUUGUAGCACUGUUUUAUUUACCAUGCAAUUUGAUUACCUAAUAGAUAUGCAAAAAGUGAAAUAAAUCUGCACUGAAAUUCUUUUACUUAACCAAUAUUUCAUAGUACAUAUGCUGUGUCAAUCAUUGUCUAAGCCCUUUAAAAGUUUUAACUCAUUUCACCCUCUGACAUUUUUCUGUGGUAGAAACUCUAUUAUUAGUAAUUCAAAGGUGAAUAAAGUGGAGAUACAGAGACAAUAAACAUCUAGCAACUGGUAGUGCCAGGAUGAGAAGCCAGGCAGACUGGCCUUAGAUCCAUGAUUUACCUACCUGAAAAUGUUAUUAUAAUUGAACACUGACGUUUUCAUAUUUAUCUUAUAUAUAUGUUGACAACUUGGGCGUAUAUGUUAAAGAAUCACAAAAAGAGAUUUUCAUUUUUCUUGAGUAGUCUUUUGAUGAUGUAUUUCUUUCAUUGAAGUUCAAGGCAGUGGUUGUAUGUCUUCAGCUACUUUGUGUAUUGCCCUUUAUAAAUUCUCAUAACUAUUCACACUUAUACUUUCUCAUUUCUGAUCCCAUCCUCUAGAAAAAUGAGGAAAAUAGGUGUGGUUUACCACAUUUAUUUUUUUUGAUUCCGAAGCACUAUCAGCAGUCAAAAUGAAAGGAAAUUAAGAGGGUUUUUCAAUCCAAUUUUCUAUUGUUUUCUUAGGAAGAAAUUGAAGCAGAACAGAAUCCAAAUCCAUUCAGAGAACACUUUGGUUCAGUGAGGACUUAAUCAAGAAUACUCAUUCUUUACAGGCCAGGCAAUCUGAUGGCUGUUCUUUCUGUUUUUGCAAUUACUACAUUCACCAAAGUUGGACUUCUGCUGGUAGGUUUCACAGACCCCAUAUUUCUUUCAUUUCUUCUUUUUCAAAGUGGGUAGUAAAGUGGUAUCCUGGCCUUGCAAACUAUAUUGUGAAAUGUUUCCAUUUUCCUAUCAUUUAAAAGGUUUUUCCUAAGAUAGAUCUGAUUUCUUCCUUUAAUAUUUAGUAGAAUUUGUCAGUGAGUUUGGAUAUGAGCCUGAAGUUUUCUUUGUUGGAAAUUUUAAAUAUGAUUUAUUUAUGUAAUGGUCAUAAAACUUUUCAAUUCUGUUUCUUCUUAAUUUACAUUUGGCAAUUAUCUGCAUAAAACUUGUAGACUUUCUAAUUUAGUAGGAUGAUUUUACCCUCAUCUUCUUUUUACUGAUGCCACAUUUUUGUCUGUGAAUGGUGCAAGGAUGCUCUUUUUGCAUUGAUACUACAUUUUUAGUGCCUUCUCUCUUCCUUAUGUGCUUAAUCUUGUCCAAGGUUCAUAUACUGUGUUAAUUUCUUCAUAAAAUCAACUGUUG
rnacentral:lncRNA from 13 species